ncrna:unclassified sequences L2-Alphaproteobacteria ribosomal protein leader
GGUCACCUGCUCACAUGCAGGGGGCUUUACUUUCCAGGGGAUGAUAUCGGGUAAACUCGGUGCAUCACCUGAGCUAAACGGAAGACAGAAA